rnacentral:pre_miRNA from 1 species
CAACUACUCCCUCUGUCCCAAAUUUCUUGUCUUAGAUUUGUCUAGAUACGGAUGUAUCUAAUACUAAAAUGUGACUUGAUACAUCCGUAUCUAGANAUCUAAGACAAGAAUUUUGGGACGGAGGGAGUACUUU